rnacentral:rRNA from 1 species
UACGAAGGGGGCUAGCGUUGUUCGGAAUUACUGGGCGUAAAGCGCACGUAGGCGGGUUGUUAAGUCAGGGGUGAAAUCCUGGAGCUCAACUCCAGAACUGCCUUUGAUACUGGCAACCUAGAGACUGGAAGAGGUUAGUGGAAUUCCCAGUGUAGAGGUGAAAUUCGUAGAUAUUGGGAAGAACACCAGUGGCGAAGGCGACUACCUGGCCUGUUCUUGACGCUGAGGCGCGAAAGCUAGGGGAGCAAACGGG